rfam:Acidovorax delafieldii 2AN ctg00125, whole genome shotgun sequence.
CCUCGCGUGCGACCGCGAGUAGCCUAGAGUGGCAUGCAGGGACAGUAAUGACCCUGUGUGAAGCCCACUCAACAAUGAACCCCUACUUCGGUAGCAGCUACGCCCGCGAGGGUGCAGCUGGAAGCUGCCAGCAGAAAGGCGGCCGAGGGG